GACUCCGUCUUAGUUGCAAUUAAAAUACCUUGAACGGUCACUUAGCAGGUACAUCAUAGAAUUAUAUGCAGUGUAAUGAUAUGAAGUAAACUGAAAGCGUAAAUUUCUGUGUAUUUGACUUCAUUUCCUGCAAUUUACCGUCUCCCUGGUCUGCUAUCUAGGCAUUGCAUUACGGUAUACAUGUAGCUCUAGGAACACUAACACUCGUUGUUUAACUAUUUCUGUGAAUGUGUAAGAAAUAUAUAAUAUUAAGAACACUGUGUCAGUGUGAAGUGAACGUUUUUGAUAAUAUAGUCGGAUAAUAUAUUCGUGAUACUCUUUAUUUUGUUGAGAAGUUACUAAACAAUGAUGUUGUGAUCGACGGGAAAACAAUUAUAUGCGAUGUCUAAACUUGAAUGGGAUUGAUUAAAAGAUCAAAAGACCAAUACUGGAAAAGCUGAUGACUGUGACAAAAGGCGCUAAUCGAAGAAAACAAAUAUCAGAGACGAACAAUUACACAUGCAUAAGAUAUACAUGACCAAGAGAAGAACGAAUAGACAUGCAUAACAUCCAAGGUCAAAUAUUGAACAAGGAUCAGAAGAAAGAAUAGAUUUAGACAUUUGUGAAAGGAACAAUAGAAACUUUAGAAGUGUACUCUUUCUGAAACGUAUAACUACAACAAAGAUCUGAUCAUUGUAUUAGAAACUGAAUUUUCCAGUCUUCUAGUGGUUUAAUUAGCCUACAAUGAUAUAUACCUUCAUGUUUUUAUACACUUAUCUUUUUUAUAUUUUUUUAUCUUUAUAUUAUAUUUGAUCGAAGUAGCAAUGAAAAAAAAGGAAUAUAUCAAUGUAUAAGAGAAAGUUAUUGCAAUUUAUACUUGGAAUAACUUAAAGAGGAGAUAUGACGUUUCAUUGAUCCUUGAUAUUAGCACAAUUGUACGUGAUAUUAGUAACUCAUUUUAAUGGAAUAUAGCUGAAUUCAGAUACAUCGGUUCAGAAAGCGAUGCGACCUUGACUCAGCCCAUAUGUUUACUCGUAUAGAAUACCUUUUUGAUCUUAUUUGAAAUCCCUUUUUAAAUCAAAAACUAUUUAUUUGUAUGAAUGGGAUCGAUCGACAAAGAUUAAAUAUAUCAUGAAAUUAUUGCUAUAUUUCUUACGAAGCUUUUAAACUUAAGUACUGACAGAUUAUAUGUUAUGGAACACUUCAGAAUUAGUUACUUUAACUAUUUUUCCAUUUUGAAAUGUGGACGAAAAACCCAUUAAUUUCAGACAGAUACAACAUGCACAAUUAUGUUUAAAGUGCUUUUAUCUGAAAACAACACUUUAAUCGUACUCACCACGCUAUUUUAUUUUGUGA
rnacentral:lncRNA from 1 species